GUCAUUGGUCUAGUCGUAUGAUUGCCGCUUCGGGUCUACAACCCAAGUAUCUUAGAUACUCACUGUAUGUGGCAGGUCCCGGGUUCAAAUCCCGGAUGAGCCC